GCAAGUCGAACGAUGAAAGCUGGAGCUUGCUUUAGCUGGAUUAGUGGCGAACGUGUGAGUAACACGUUAGCAAUCUGCCCCUGACUCUGGGAUAACUUCGAGAAAUCGAAGCUAAUACCGGAUACGACCCUUCCAGGCAUCUGGUGAGGGUGGAAAGAACUUCGGUCAGGGAGGAGCUCGCGGCCGAUGAGCUAGUGGGUGAGGUAAUGGCUCACCAAGGCGACGACGGGUAGCCGGCCUGAGAGGGUGAGC
rnacentral:rRNA from 1 species